rnacentral:rRNA from 1 species
GUAAACCGCUUUCAGUUGGGACGAAGCUUCGCCGGUGAACAGCCGGCUGGAGUGACGGUACCUUCACAAGAAGCCCCGGCUAACUACGUGCCAGCAGCCGCGGUAAUACGUAGGGGGCAAGCGUUGUCCGGAAUCAUUGGGCGUAAAGAGCGUGUAGGCGGCUUCGUCAGUCCGUUGUGAAAGUCCAGGGCUCAACCCUGGAAUGCCGAUGGGUACUGCGGAGCUAGAGUACGGAAGAGGCGAGUGGAAUUCCUGGUGUAGCGGUGAAAUGCGCAGAUAUCAGGAGGAACACCUAUGGCGAAGGCAGCUCGCUGGGACGUUACUGACGCUGAGACGCGAAAGCGUGGGGAGCAAACAGGAUUAGAUACCCUGGUAGUCCACGCCGUAAACGAUGGGCACUAGGUGUGGGGGGUGUCGACUCCCUCCGUGCCGAAGCUAACGCAUUAAGUGCCCCGCCUGGGGAGUUCGGCCGCAAGGCUA